rnacentral:lncRNA from 1 species
GGCUAGCGCAAGUUCCGGGUGAGCGCGGGCUCGGCGGGCCCCGCCCUCGGAGCGGCUGGCCGGCGCCGCUGGCCCCGGGGAGUGAGGGGCUUAGCACCCGGGCCAGCAGUUGCGAAGGGUGCGCGGGGUUCCCCAGCAGUGCCGGCCCUCGCGCGCGGCGCUCGAAUUCUCGCUGGGCGUCAGCUGCCUCCCCGCAGGGCAGGGCUCGGGACCUGCAGCCCGCCAUGCCCGAGCCUCCUCCCCGCCGUGGGCUACGCGCCGCCCGAGCCUCUUGAAGUCAGUGAGACCAAGAACCCGCCAAUUCCGGACACACUAUUAGAAGAUAAGCUCACAGCAGAGCAAACUUUAUUACUAUUUUAAACAUAAGGAAGCCGACUCUAUGAUGAAGAAUUAGCACAGGUUAUGUGGCUGGCAAUUGCUGGAUUCUUCAGUAGAACUCCUGAUUCUAGAUGUGAUUCACUUAAAGGAGACACGGGCUGUGCUGGCUUCUCAGAUUUGCAAAAGAUCAAUGUCUCCAAGUACCCAAAACUUACCUGGGGUUUUCAAGAUUAUGCAGCUAGGUGCAGUGCCUGCUAUGAAGCACACACAAUGCUUAUCUGCUGCUCCAUUGGAAAGCCAAUAGCAAAGAAGGGAAAGGACCUUCUGAUUGGAGAGUGGAGGAGUGAGUUAGAAGAUGGUUUUAUGUUUACUGCAAUGCCCUUUGUCCUCAUCAGAACUGUGAAGUGGAAUUUGAUUUUGAUGCACUCUUUAACAAGGAUGCUUUGUGUUAUCCAUGCAAUCCCCUACUACUCUGAACCAUAACAUACACAUGCUACAUCCCAAAAGCCAGAACCCCCAAAAAUGGGUUGUUCCUGGUUUCAGCUUCUAAGAUCUAGCUUUCUUUCUCUCAGAGUCUCAUUUAUCCUUUUCUCCCAAAGGCAAAGCUGUUUUUAUCUGAUUACUUGAUUUCUAUGAAAAUUUUAGUGCAUUUUAAUGACUUUGUAGUUUAUCUGACCCAGAUAACAUGCACUUUAAUAGGAAACUUUUACAGAGACAGUGUCUUAACCAAAAGAAUGACUUAAUGACG